rnacentral:rRNA from 1 species
CCUACGGGGGGCUGCAGUCGAGAAUCAUUCACAAUGGGGGAAACCCUGAUGGUGCGACGCCGCGUGGGGGAAUGAAGGUCUUCGGAUUGUAAACCCCUGUCAUGUGGGAGCAAAUUAAAAAGAUAGUACCACAAGAGGAAGAGACGGCUAACUCUGUGCCAGCAGCCGCGGUAAUACAGAGGUCUCAAGCGUUGUUCGGAAUCACUGGGCGUAAGGCGUGCGUAGGCUGUUUCGUAAGUCGUGUGUGAAAGGCGCGGGCUCAACCCGCGGACGGCACAUGAUACUGCGAGACUAGAGUAAUGGAGGGGGAACCGGAAUUCUCGGUGUAGCAGUGAAAUGCGUAGAUAUCGAGAGGAACACUCGUGGCGAAGGCGGGUUCCUGGACAUUAGCUGACGCUGAGGCACGAAGGCCAGGGGAGCGAAAGGGAUUAGAUACCCCGGUAGUC